ensembl:lncRNA
UUGUGUGGCCGGGCCGGAAACAUGGAAGUACGAGGCCUGCAAGAGGCGCUGAAAGUAGAGAUCCAAUGUCACCAGGUAACCAGCCGUCGUUGUUCUCCGGUGGUCGUAAAGAAGCAGCCGCAGAAACAAGAUGUCGCUUAAUAACGUCGAGCACGCGCCACUUGUGCUCUGAAUCUCUACGGCUUUGUUUGUUUGUUUGUUUGUUGUUGUUGUUCGCGGUGCAACAAGAAGCCCUCUUUUCUUCUCGGGCUAAUAAUGCGGUGGUGUGGCGGCGAUCCGGACGCGACCUGAAUAUUUAUGAGGAGCCAAAGAGUCGCCUCCACCUCCUCCUCCUCCUCCACCUCCUCCGCUUUGUUCCUCCCUUCCUCACACUAACAAAACUUGAGGGGACUUUUGUUUUAGCGUAAUAAGGCCGCAGUUACUGAACUAGUUGCCCAGAUGAAGCAGGACCCACAGGUAUUUAAAGUACAUGUAUUACACGGCUAGCUCCUCAAGCUAACGCCGAGGCGGCUGUGCGAGGGAAACUUUAUCGGCCUAAUGCUGCUCCGUGGCGGCUUAGCGUGCAUGUGGAUGCCGUGUGUUUAGGUGGAUGUCCGUGUGGCAGGUGGUGAUUGUCCCCUUGUGUUUUCCCGCAGGAUGGAGAGCUUAAGAGACAGCUACACGACCGGCGGAUAUCAGCCCUGAGCGACAAGCAAGUAAGUCUUCUGGCCUCAUAACAAACAUGGUGGAUGGGGACUCAAAAAGAGAAAAGAUGGGAAAGUGAACGCCGUUCACGCCCGCUGUGUGUGUGUGUGUGUGUCUGUGUGAGUCCGUCUGUGUGUGUGUGUUUGGACUUCCUGUCUCUCGGCAUCUCAAAGUUAUGUUAAAAAAACUGUUCGCGUCCAUUUUGAGUUCAUGUUUCUGGAGAGUAAAAAGGAGCUAAUAAAGGAGCUAGCUUUAGCCUUUAACUCUCCGGCUCGGACUUGUGGCGGGGAGCCGCUACGGCGGAAGUUUAAGACGUUAAGACCGUCUCCACCGGGCCGGAGGUGCUUUUAGGGCCUGUUAAAUGGCGGAUUAUUUGUUACUUUAUACUUUUAGUCCGGUGGUGUUUUUUCUCCUCGCGCAGGGGGGGGCGGUGGGGGGGUCACGUGACCGCAGAUGGUGCACUCGAUUCGCCUGCUUUCACUUUUCUUCCCGUUGCUGUCUUUUUAAUAGCUUUAAACUGGGCUUAACUUUUGAUGCCGCGGUGGCGGUGCCACACGGCGGCAGGUGCUGAUGGAGAAGCCGGGUAGCGGAGUUCAGCACCGCGGACAGCUCCCCCCCCUCUCCCGGUGGCUCGCUGCUGCUGCUGCCUCGCACCGCCCCGCCGGUCGGUCCCAGCCUUGAGAGCGGGGGACUGCCGGCUGGGUCCGCAGGCCCGUUAAAACAGCAACGCCGAUAGUUCGUAAAAUGUCUGCGUACUCUUAUUAAAACGGUCCGUCGUCGUUAGAAUGAAAGCCCGCCGCUCCGAAGCCCCGCUGCUCCCAAAACACGCACUCUGGAGUUGGAGUUCCGUGAGCGGCGGCACUGCGGCUUCCCAGACCCCGUUAACACAUCGCUAAAUGUGACCGUUUAGGUCUGAGCCGUGACGGGAAUCACAGCGCGUGUCUUUGUGUGACUCCACGAGAAACGCGCUUCACUUCGGCGGUUAUCUCACCUGUGUGGACUAAGUUAAGCAAACUAAAGUGGGCUAUGUUUUUUUUUAAAUUAAAGGGCACCUAACCGCCUCAUCCAGCGGCUUUAAUUAGUCCCGAUCGCCGUUAAACUUGGCACAUAGUGGGACUCCAGCACCGCCCAGUUCACCCAGCUUCUGCUGCUCCCUCUGAAGCGUGUGUGUGCUGUGACUUCUCCUUCUGUUUGGUAGUGGAAGCUUCCAUUUUGAGAGAGAAAAGGGGGUGUAUCCCCCCCCCCCCCUCACACCAGAGAGGGGAAAAGUCUGCAGAGUUUUGUGCAGGAGGAGGAGGAGGGGGGAUGGGCCCCAUUCAUGCCGAACAUUACCAUUUUGAUUGCUUUGAUGCUGUUUUUGGAUGUGGGGGGGUCGGCAGUGAAAAGAGAGACACAGAAAGCCCAGUCAGCACCGCUGCACACAGCCAGGUUUUUAAUCACCACGCUGAUUAAUUCUUCUCUUCUAGCUGCCAAACGUGACCUUUUAUUACUUUUUCCUUCUGCACGCACACAUGAACCCGAAUCCUCCUCGUCCGCAACGGAAUAAUAAACUGGAAUGUUUGGAUGUGGUUACUAGCGGCGUGGAGAGCGGGUGGAGGCCUGGAGGUCAUCUCAUGGUCACGGGCUUCAUGUGAGGUUCAGCUCUCACAUGGGUGCAUGUUGUGAAGGAGAACAAGUGGUUUCAUAACACCAGCCCACAGUUUAUCACCAGAGGAGGAGUAGAGGGAUGGAGAUUGGAGGAAUCAAUGGGGGGGGCUCAUGUUCAGUGUGGAGGUCUCUCCUUUAGCCUCCUCCUGAGAGAGAGAGAACUUCAUUUAGUAGAUGUUUCAUAGGAUUAGGUUACUGGAAAACUGUUUUUGAUUUAGUCUUUAGACGAAAAAUGCAUAUUAGUUUUAGUCAGAUUUAGUCAUUUUAAUCCUUCUUAGUUUUAGUCAACGGAAACUAGACUAAAAUGUAAUUAGUUUUAUUCUAGUUUUAGUCACAUUUAACAGCCAUAUUAAACUCUUCCCUUCUCAGGCCCAGAGACCCUGUGUUGUGUCUACAGCUGCAUAAUAGUCCAGCUUGCAGUACUUGGUUGUCCAUUAGAUGUCCCUCCUAGGACAGGUCUAUAGAUGUCCCUCCUAUAGGACAGGUCUAUAGAUGUCCCUCCUAUAGGACAGGUCUAUAGAUGUCCCUCCUAGGACAGGUCUAUAGAUGUCCCUCCUAUAGGACAGGUCUAUAGAUGUCCCUCCUAUAGGACAGGCCUAUAGAUGUCCCUCCUAUAGGACAGGCCUAUAGAUGUCCCUCCUAUAGGACAGGCCUAUAGAUGUCCCUCCUAUAGGACAGGUCUAUAGAUGUCCCUCCUAGGACAGGUCUAUAGCAGGUCGGCAAACGUUUUGACUCGCGGUCACAGUAGGUUUGUAAAAUGUGACGGAGGAAGAACAAAUGGUUGAAGUGUUUGUGUGAGCGAAUAUAAAUGACGUGUGAAACAUCAUCACAUGAAAGGAUUUGGAUUUUAACAAAUAGCAAAGCAUUUAUUUGCAAGGCAAUUUAACAAAUUGUCAAAGGUGUAACAACUUCAUGAGGACCAGGGACCUAAACGCAACACUUUGUUGUCUUUGUCUGUUUACUUGAGUGCUUUUGACACUUCAUGCUCCUUUAUUGUUUCCACUGUCCCAACUAAAGAGACCUUAACGUCCUACAAUCAAUGCAAUACAUUAUGUUCUUGGCUUCAGAACCUGCAAUAAGUUUAUUACGUUAGACGUGUUUGUGACGGAGCGUCUCAUCCAGCGAGGAAACGCUGCCUGCCGUCGCCAGAGAACAGAGCAGAAAGGUCCCACAGUCUUUAAACGCGUCUUCAUGUUUCUGUGAAGCAGCGCGGCUUCAGCCCGCUAACAGUCAGCUAACAGUCAGCUAACCAGAGACAGCUAACAGGCAGCUAACCCGAGACAGCUGAGCUAAACUAACGAAGCCACGUUCAAACUAUAAAAUAGUCGUCGCGGUCCGUAAUCGGUGCACCGCUGCACCGAUACGAGCGUUCUGGGUUGGUGGAUGACGUCAUCAUGACGCGUUAAUAACCGCCGUACUUUGUCUGUCGGUUGUCUGUCAGCUGCGUGCGAAUUUAGGGGGGAAAAGUAUUGUGACUUCGUCAACCACCAACAUGUUCGUCUCGUCUUAGUCAAGGAAAAAGGUCAUUAAGCAACAUUUUUCGUCGACGAAAUGAACGCUGGCGUGAUGGAGGCUGAAUUUGCUCGCCGCGCACUCACAGGUCUGAUUAAGAAGAACUACUUUUCUUUAAAAGAACAUUUGAUUCUUCCUGCACACGCAACAUCCUUCAAGGAGAGAAUCAAAACAUUCUACGGCAACUGGACCGGGUCCAAAAGGCUACAAUGGUACAAAUACAAAUACUUCCAAACGGUACUUGAGUUUACAUUUGAGCCAAAUUAAGUAUUUUUAACUGGAUGACGUAAUAUUAUGGAUUAUAUGAGCAUGACGGGAUCGAUGAACAUAGUAUGUAUUAUAAUACUUGUUACUCUUUUGUACUGGUAUUUAGUUUAAAUGCAGUAGUUGUACUAGUAGAUACAAGUAUAGUAGUAUUUGUAGAGAGUGCGGUUUGUGACCCCGAGACGACGAAUGUGAAACACUCUUCGGUCCAAGCAGCUGUCAUUACCACGGCAACCAGAGGUUCCAAACAAUCACCAUGGAGACGCUGUCAGAGAAAAGUCUCAUUCAAGUGGCAGGUCAACGGGAAGAAAGGGAUAUUGUCUGAGAUUAAAAUGCUCCGUUUACUUGAAUUACGUUUCGUAUGCUUUCCAAAUGAAAUGCUAUUUACUAGAAUACACGGUUAUUUUCUCUCAGAUUAAAGUAGCGAGUUUAAAGAAAACAAUCAUGGAUCAUUUGCAAUAAAAGAGCAAGAAUGAGGACAAAUUACAAAUUUAAGUUAAUUUACAAGAGAAAAGCUCAAAUAUUCUCUGAAAGUAAACUAUUUUAAAGGUAAAUUGAAAAGAUAUUUUCCAUAAAUUCAAAUCAACAUGUGUAGAUGCUUUUAUUAUGGCGGUCGAACAGGGUUGUUAGAACGUGUUGCUAGGAUACGAGGGUGAGGAAAUGUGAGGGAGUUCAUAGAGGGUGAGGCAGCGAGAGACGUCUCACAUUCACCUCCACAAGAUGCUCCACCAACACCAGAGCCUCCAGGUGGCCCCGUGAGCCCAAAACUACAGCGCUCACUUCAGCCACAGCAGUCAGAGUUCCCCUGACCAAUGGUCCUUGAACACAUCAUGCGUAAGUCAGAUUCUGUUAAAAACAUUACAGUCCAAACUUUGUGAAAGUGCAUCAUUUAUUCAUAUGAGAUCAACCGUCAUGUGACCAGAAGUCAGAGAAACUGACUGAACACAACAACUAACAACAACUAACAUGUUGGUGGUUCUUGUGCACCGACUACGGACCGCAACGACUAUUUUACGCUUCGGCGAGUUUGAACGUGGCUUCGUUAGUUUAGCUCAGCUGUCUCGGGUUAGCUGCUUGUUAGCAGGCUGAAGCCGCGCUGCUUCACAGAAACAUGAAGACACGUUUAAAGACCGUCAGACCUUUCUGCUCUGUUCUCUGGCGACGGCAGGCAGCGUUUCCUCGCUGGAUGAGACGCUCCGUCACAAACGCGUCUAACGUAAUAAAGUCAUUGCAGGUUUUGAAGCCUCACGAAUUUCAACUAUAGUUCCCGCCUGUUCAAGACUGUUAAACUGUCUCGUUCGUUCGUUACUAAGCAACAGACGCGUGUGAAAUAAUGUAUUGCAACGAUUGUAGGACGUUAAGGGGUCUCUUUUGUUGGGACGAGCAACUUCACAGUGGAAACCAUAAGGAGGGACAUCUAAUGGACAACCAAGUACUGCAAGCUAGACUAUUAGGCAGUUGUAGACACAACACAGGGGGUCCCUGGGCCUGAGAAGGGAAGAAAAGGAGUUUAAUGUGGCUGUUAUGGCGCGUUUCCACCGAGCGGUGCGGGUCGGGUCGGGUCCCUUUUAUUUGUGUCUCCACUCCCAAAAUUUGAGAAUGGUACCAACAAUCCGAACCGUACCACCUUUUGGGUUCCCUUCCGUUGGGGCACCUGGCACAGCUGUUUGGUACUAAGGGGCGGAGCUAGACUCACUGCAGAGCGUUGAUUGGUUGAAAGAGUGUCGUCAUUUGCGCUGUGUUUUUCCUUGCAGCCUUUGCUCAAACAAAGAUGGUCGUCUCCUUGUGACAAACAGCCACAUGUGGAGAAGCAGGAACAGGAUCGGCUGCACGUCCUCCGUUGUUGUUUGCGGUUAGCUUUCAGUUUCAAAAAAGUCAAACACUUUGAAUCCGUAGAUUACUGCCUUAAUGGUCUUAUUGCUGCUAUUUGAUGACGAAUGCAUACACACUAAGCCAAAUUAAGUAUAUCUAUUAUUUUUAACAAAGGUUAAAUGUUAUUUCACAAUUUUCAAACUAUGUCCCCAAUUUCUUAUGAAAUGACCUUGGUUUUCAGUCAUUGGGGGCUGAAUUCCUACCCUGGUCAUGGUAGUACAGUGUACACGGGGCUGUGUAUUUGUACCUGGUAUGGUACCUGCUGAGCCCUGCCUGGAUCUCCACGUCUCCCUUUUACUGAGUGGCCUUCUUCACGUUGUUGUUCAUGAAACUCUGUUUGCUGAGUAUCGUUGAGAAGAAUCCAUAUAACGAAGGAGAAAGCAGCCGUGGGUUUGGUCCUGUUGUUGUUGUUUGGUUCAACUGAGUGGUGACUAAACAGGAAGUCAGGGAGAAGAUGUCCUCCAGUGAUGCUGGACAGCUCCUCCCCAGAAUGCUGCGCUCUGAUUGGCCGACACCUCUGCUGAACGGCUACUCAAGGAGAAGCUAAAGUGUGCUGGCGUUCAGUGGAGGAGCCGCUGUGCGUCUCAGGCUGGAUUUGAAUUGUCCAAUUUGCUUAGCAAGCUUCCUACCUGACGCUAAGGAAAGGAGCUCCAAUACUUAAAUAGUGACGUAUCAUCGGUUCGUCCACAAUAAAUAAUGAUCAUGAUGUGGACACGCAGAUCAUGUGAGUAACCGUUAGCAUCACUCAUUUACAUUAAUAAAGCUUUUCUUUGGACCUGGUAACACAUGAAGGCAUCUGAGAUGCUUCUUUGUAGCCGCUGCAGACUGACGUCACCAACAUGCGUCUCCGUCCGUCACGACUACGCAGCUCAGUGGAAGAGGAGUCCAUUCCCUGAACACCGCGUUGUCUUUUCCUAACUCAACCGUCCCAACCACCUUCCCUUGACCCUGUGGCGUUUUCUACAGAGGUCAAGGAUUAGUGGUUACAAAUAGACGUGAGGAGGUCGCAUAUGAACCCAACCACACACUUCCUGUCCCUGUGUUGACCUCCUGAACAUCAGAACACUUCCCAGGUUUCUCUCUCAGGUCCUCCUCCUCUUUCCUGUUGCUCAUGAUGCCCCGCCCCUCUCAUUUGAUGCCCCGCCCCCCACGCAACAUCCGGGUCAAAAGUUUGGAUGUGGAAAAGAAAAAAGCUAUGAAAGUCGAACAGAUUUAAAACUGAAAAUAUAAAAUCUGCAACUGAACAAUAUAAUACAGCAAAUAAUUAAAAAAAAUGUUUCCAUGGCGAUGGAUUUAGUCUCUUGAGUGUUUGGUCACUGAGUUUUGUUCAGGCUGAGACGUACCGGUGACUCCUCAGAGCUGUGUGUGUGUGUGUGUGUGUGUGUAAGGCGCUAACAAUGGACUCAGCCAGCUCUACACACAGCAGCAGAAAGAGGUCAACAAAGAGUGCGAGCCCUCUCAGGGCCGCUCUGAUUGGUCUCCUGCUGUCCAACGCCAGCCUCUGAUUGGACGCUGACACUCAAACACGUGAAACGCUGCAGCAUUUUCUUCCUUUUUCCUCGUUGACCCGGCUUCACGUGGUCAGAACAGAACGCCGUGUCCCGUCGGAGCUUCAAGGCGCUUCAUUCAAAUGAGAGCGGUGUGUGGGAGGGGCCUCUGUUUCUGGCCCUCAUUUGCAUACUUCUUCUAGGCCAACAUCCCACAAUGCCCUGUUUUCUUUUUUUGAAUGCAUUAUUGAGGGUUCCUUAAAGAAGGAAGAGGCCUCAGACUUCAGAGAGCUCUUUGAAAAAGGUGUCAGUUGGUUUGUAGCUCCAUGUUUUUCAACCAGAGAAAACUUACAACACAAUAAUAAUAUUUCAGAGCAAUCAUUAACGUCAAACAAACCUUCUGCUCUCAUGAUUGCUACUCGUGCGAAUCUGGCGACAGUUUUUAUUGAGAAAGGGAUCGUGCUGCUUUUGGUUUAAAGGAGUAAAAAGUGUUGAUUCUGACUAGAGUCUUCGUGUUGUUUUAUGAGUAUAUUAUUAACAGAUUCCUUUCUAUGAUCCCUGGCAAUACAGAAUAUUCACAUCCAAUAAUUAUAUUGGGUCUUCAGGUGCUACCAGUUCGACUAGCAUCGCCCCGUGACCUCUGUGGAAGGUCGCGGGGGUCAUACAGGUCGUUACACCGCUGAUGGUAAAUGUCAGUGACCGUGGUGAGGGAGACAAAUAACAGACGAUGAAGGUUGAUGCUCGGAGGAAUGUUUGAUCCACUCACAUCUACAUGAAUACGUUAAAGGUCUGAAUGUGGAAAGAAUUUAAAGACGAUGAUGUUCCUCAAAGAGAAGUUAGUAACAUUUAAAGAUUCUAUUAGCAGGUCAAUCUAAAAGCAAAAACAAGAUGUUUAAUAGAAACGCCGCCAGACCGCCAACUUUCGUCUACUUCAAAGCGUCUUUGAAGGAGGCAAACUGACUUCUGAUCUCUUUUAAUACACCUUCAAGUUCUCCUAUUCCACUAAAUAUCUCCUCACAUGAUGAAGCUGAUAAACAAGGUGACGUCUUUAACUUUCAUCACAUACAACAGGGAACAGAUGUUUACACUCAACCGUGUGGUUGUUAGAAUAGUUGCAUCUAUGUCAGUCGUGUUCCUUUAUUUGAAAUCAAGCAGAUCACAUGAAGGAGGCUCCUCCUCUCCGGCGUCUCGUUAGAGAGACAAAGUACCAGGUGGUCAGACCGGGACGUCCACCUUCCCCCAAACAAUGGCUGCUUCCUGUUCCUCCUUUUAACAUGCGUGUGUAUAUUCACGUUUUGCGCCUCCGUCCUCCGGUUCCUCUCACAAGGGAAAGAAAAAAAACAGAACUCGCCCCAUGGUCUCCAUGGUAACCAACAGUGCCUCUCUUUGAAUAUUCCCACUCAGGUGCUUUAGUCCUUGAACCCAGCGCGACUGCUUCAUGCUCCGCCUUUCUGUGCGGGAGGUUUGUUUUUGAGUUUACUGGGUCCCUGAAGGGGCAUCGGGAGCGUGACGUGUGAUGGAGUUCAUGCUUCUGUUGCCAUCUGUUUCUUUAAGUUAUUGACUAAAAUCUGAAACCAUAUUUAAUGGAAGGAAUCUGCUUGAGAGAAUAAUGUUAGUGUGUCGAAGUGGUAUAAAAGUCUCCUUAGGGGGAGGAGCCAGUUCUCUGCUGAUAGUCACAUGGUCCUGGACCACUUUAAUGUUGACAAAUGAGAGGGGAGGCGACCAGCAGCUGAAGCUUCGGGGGGGGUCCUCGCAACAUGUUAAUGUCAGUGUGGAACACAAACAUUUUAACUGUUGUGAUGGCCCACGUGUCUGUGGUGCUGGUCCACGUGGUCCACGUGUCUGUGGUGAUGAUCCACGUGUCUGUUGUCCUGGUGUCUGUGGUGAUGGUCCCACGUGUCUGUGGUGCUGGUCCACGUGUCUGUUGUCCUGGUGUCUGUGGUGAUGGUCCCACGUGUCUGUGGUGCUGGUCCACGUGGUCCACGUGUCUGUGGUGCUGGUCCACGUGUCUGUUGUCCUGGUGUCUGUGGUGAUGGUCCCACGUGUCUGUGGUGCUGGUCCACGUGGUCCACGUGUCUGUGGUGCUGGUCCACGUGGUCCACGUGUCUGUGGUGCUGGUCCACGUGGUCCACGUGUCUGUGGUGACGGUCCACGUGUCUGUUGUCCUGGUGUCUGUGGUGAUGGUCCCACGUGUCUGUGGUGCUGGUCCAAGUGAAGCCUCGGACUCUGGCUCUCAAUCCUCCGUCAGAAGUGAUCACUGUGCUUAAUGAAAACUAAUGACGUUUGUUCUUCUUCGUUGGUGCUCCGUAGCAUUAAAUUCCUGGGCACAGUGUGUUCUGCCCCUCGGAGGAAUAAGAACAACAACAAACAAAAUAGAACAAUUCAUGACUGGUUUCCGUAGCAACGUGCCAAAUAUAACGAUCUGCUGGCAUGAGGGUGAACUCUCCUCAUCGACACAUGGCCAUUUUUAUUAUGGCUGGUUUCCACGGUGACCUUAGCCAAUGGGAACAAAGCAGAGCCAGCAGCUGGACGUUUAAUCUCACACAGAAACCGGUUGCAUAUAUUGGUCGUCCAUAAAGCUGUUCUUGGUUAGUAGUUAAGCCAACAUUUCCCAUGAUGCAGCUUGAUAGCGUCUCUUGGUUAGAGCCUUCCUGCUAGGUAAACUUCUCAAGAAUGGUAUUAGCUAAAUAAAGUACUUAAUGUAUUUUCACAAAAAUGAAUCAAUUGAACAGCUCGCUUACUAGUGACCUGUCAAUCAGCAUGUAGCCCUAAAACAUCCCCUCUUUAUGGUCUGUUUGACUCCAAAUAGACCAUAAUGUACUAAAUGAACAUCAUGUUGUGUUGAAGAAGACUUUAAACUAGAGACUGAGACCAUAAACUCAUGUUUACAAUGUUUACUGAGGGAAUAAAUCAAGAGAAGUAGAGUCAUUUCCUCAUAGACGUCUAUGGGAGCAGAGGAGUCGCCCCUGCUGGUCACUACAGAGAAGUAGAGUCAUUUCCUCAUAGACGUCUAUGGGAGCAGAGGAGUCGCCCCUGCUGGUCACUACAGAGAAGUAGAGUCAUUUCCUCAUAGACGUCUAUGGGAGCAGAGGAGUCGCCCCUGCUGGUCACUACAGAGAAGUAGUCAUUUCCUCAUAGACGUCUAUGGGAGCAGAGGAGUCGCCCCCUGCUGGUCACUACAGAGAAGUAGAGUCAUUUCCUCAUAGACGUCUAUGGGAGCAGAGGAGUCGCCCCCUGCUGGUCACUACAGAGAAGUAGAGUCAUUUCCUCAUAGACGUCUAUGGGAGCAGAGGAGUCGCCCCCUGCUGGUCACUACAGAGAAGUAGAGUCAUUUCCUCAUAGACGUCUAUGGGAGCAGAGGAGUCGCCCCCUGCUGGUCAGGAGAGAGAAGUAGAGUCAUUUCCUCAUAGACGUCUAUGGGAGCAGAGGAGUCGCCCCCUGCUGGUCACUACGGAGGAUGCAGCUUUAACUCGUGACUUCACUUUGGUCACUUUAGUGUUUUCCCUCACAAAUAUCUUACUGAGAAGAGGGUUGUUUUGACCUCAUUCAGGCUAAAUAAUCAAAGAUCGUAGUAUUGAUCACCCAAGGCCGAUGCUGCAGAUUUUAUUACUUAGCACACAUUUUACUGUGUGUACAAUAAGUAAUCAGUUAUCAUCCAUAAUACAUCAAUAAAGCCGUAAAUGGUGUCUUGGUAGCAGAAGUCAGAGCAGCUGUUGGUGGAGAACUCGCUCAGUUUGAAAACCCACUCUGCUGGAAACAAUGUCACUUUUCUCAUUAGACGAACCGCUGUGAGCGGAGCUUCUUUUACUUAACAUGUAGCAACAGAAUCCUCACGCUGAGAGGAGCAGCGAGAGAGCUACACCUUUUAACUGAACUCCACCAUGUCGGAGCAUGUUUGGGCCUCACGCCGCCAUCAACUGCUGGCAGACAGACGCCCCCUGGGGCUCCUCCCCCUCACACCUCCUCCUGAGCCAUGUGAUUGGCUUCUCCAACCCGGCGGCUCGAGUCCUAAACUCUUUCCCUCGGACACAAAUCACACAAGAUAUCCUGUGACCUAAAGAAGCUGUACAUUCAGUGUCCUCAGAGGAUAAACCUUGCUGUGUCGUCGUAUUGUAACUUCACUAUUUCUGUAUUUAUUGAUGGUUUCUGCGACUUUUUAAACGUGACAAAUAAACAAAUAAAUAAAUAAAUACGUCGCUGGAUGUGCUGAAGAACAAACAAUAAAUCCUGAGUCGUCUGGGCUCUUAUAAAUACGGGUUCCAAAGGGUUCUACCAGAACCAUUUGCUGGUAUGGAACAUCUUUCUGUUUUUAAAGAGUGCCAUUAAGAACCUCUGUGGAGUUCUAGAUGAAACCUGGAACGAAAAAGGGUCCUGGGUAGAGCUCCUUGGGUGGGUUCUAAAUUAACCCUAACCGCAUGGAUCGUUCAAGGGUUCUCCGUAGAACCCUUAGGACGGUUCUUGUAAGCACCCUUGGAAUGGGAAAAGAUGGUUUUGGAUGGGAACCAUUACGCUGUUGGUAGAACCCUCUUGAAAUGAUUCCAGUGAGUAUUGUUCCAAACAUCCGGAGGUUCUCCUCUGCUGGUGACUGGAGGGGGAGAACGUUCAGUCGUCCCACUAAUCUCUCCUAGAUUUCCCCCGUGAGUGGAAUGAAUCCUCCUCCGGUUAUCUGACUCUUUUCUGCAGUUAAACAGGAAGUUCUGAUAAAAGACAAGAACAGCAUUUCAAAAUAAGAUGGGAGUUUUAUUCUAUGAAACGUGUCUCAGUCCUUCCGAUGUUUCAGCUUCAAUCUGAACAGUUUCCUGUUUCUCCUUUUUCAGAAUCAGACGUUGUGUAAAGGACUCAAUGAACUUCAGAACGGACAGGUGAGGAAAUAUUUCAUAUUUAAUAUGUACUACAACAUUGUAGAAAGUACCACCAUGUUUUUCUGUAGCUGGGCCGUCUUUUACUUACUUACUUUAAAAUGUACUUCCUGCUUGAUAUCUGGUGUUGAAUGAUUCACCAGUGGAAUGAUCAUUCAGUAAUAACAGUAUACAAACUUCAUGUCUCAUCACAUUGACUUUGUGUCGAGUAACUUCCUUUUACAUUAUUACAUCACAUGUCAUUUAUGACGCUUUUAUCCAAAGCAACUUACAAUAAGUUCAUUCAACCAUAAGGACUCAGAAGUUAGUUAGUGUGUUAGUGGAGGUAGAGUCUGAAGAGGUGUGUCUUUAGUCUGAAGAUGUGAAGGCUCUCUGUGGUCCUGAUGUCUUCAGAGACCUCCUUCCACCAUUUACUUCCUCUCCAUUAACUUCCUCUCAAAUUCCAGCUCAUAAUAGAAAGACUGCAGGUUAGAAGGAAGCGUUGCUUUGAUUGAUCUCGUUAGUCUAAAGUCCUUUUAUGAGCUGCUUCCUGUCGCACUCAACCACAGCAAGUGAAUGUUGUAGCGUUACCGUGGCAACACGGCGGCUUGAGACUCCGUGUCAGUACUGACCACCAGAUAUAUCCAGGAAGAUCAGCUGAUCAGUCACGUGACUUCUAAUCAAAGUGCUUUUGAUCUGGGUGCGUGAAGGUCCAGCAUGUCGCAGACUACACCGAUUAAACGGACCCGUGGUUGCUUGUUACCGGUGUCUGGACGCAGCGCGUCAUUGAGUCUGAGAGGGACUAGUUUGUGCAAAAGUCAGGGUCACUUUGUGACGACUCACCUGAGAGCAUGAAUCCGUCUGCUGUCCUUGGUAGAGACAGGAAGUGAUGUCACAACGUCCUCUGUCGCUGGGGCCAUGGCUGUGUCUCCGUCGCUAGGCUGCAUCCUUGAGGACGCAUUGGUCGAGCGCAUACGUCACUUCCGCUGCGACUCGUCUGUCCCAGGGGCGCAGUCCUCCAGGAGCCGGUUUGGAGGACACAUCUGAGCUGUCCUUUGCGUCCCAGCAUAUCCCAGCAUGCAGUGCGGGCCGACCAAGCGGAAGAGUUACUUUUAAAUGUAACGUUAAGUAAAAGAAUUCACUUGAAUAUCUACAGAUAGAAAUGUUAUAAUAUAGAACAUCACAUCUUCGUUAAUGAAGUCACGUGACGUUAACUCCGUUAUCCCCCCGUACAGCCCCUGAGCCACCCGGACCCCCCCAGGUCCAUGUACUGUUCCUCUGAACAUCAAUGUGCUACACACAUUUAUAACAAACGCACAACGAGCAGCUCACGUUACCGGCAGCUCGUCUGUACUUAUUAAAGUUAUGAACCUGAAAUAUCACUUUAAGUCAGUGACGUUACAGAAUAAAUACACAAAGAAACUGAACUUUGCUCCUUUUGUCGCGUGAUUAUGAACUAACUUUACAUUUAGUUGUGUUCUUCUCUCAGCCUGAAAUGUACUCUGCUCCGGAGGAGAAGCUUUUCUUCCUAAAUUAAAUGAAAUAAGAUUAUUUUUUUCUGUUACUUUGUCAUUUGUUUGGCUUUUAAGGCUUUUACUGUCCAGCGCAGCAGGUUGCUAGGCAACAGGAGCAGUGGAGGUAAACCUGAUGAGGCAAGCAGGAAGUCCCCCCGUAGGACAGACCGUCCCAUUCGAGAGGCCGCUUAGUUCAGCCUGUGUGGUAGUUGGAGGACCAGCCCAAGUAGACCAGAAGGCUGCUGAAGGCUGCAGGCUACAAGGAUGCUCAUGUUACCUGUCGCUUGGAGGCUCCUCCCACCUGGUUCCCCGCUGAGCCUUCAGCUGCUUUGCCUGCUUCUGUGUCACGUGACAUCACAUGGCCCCUCCCCCCCACAGAGGAGAGUUUGGGAUGUCUCCUCCCGGUCUCGGGGCAGAGAGAUGGGGGAGGGUAGUGAGGACAAAGGCCCUCCCUUUGUCCCCUCUGAUCCCCCUGGGCCCCCGCAGGAAGUUCUCCAAUGUCUUAAUCUCCUGCAGCAGAAAGAAUCAGCCAGUUAAAGAGUCAACGUGUUCUUAUUUGAUUUAUUCUGGAAACUAAACUUUAACUGCUUGUUUUUACACACUUUAUUACGUUAAGUGUAAUUUCAUAUUAACAAAGUUACUUGGUGACUUUAAGUGAAUUCUGGGGGCUUUGAAGAAACACAUUAAGAGGAAUGUGAGGGGAACGGGUGUAUUUAGCAUAGAGCAGUAUUUGUAUUGACCAAGGAAUGCGGGGGGGAUGGGUGAGUAGAUGGAGGGAUGAGUAGAUGGAGGGAUGGAUGGGUGAGUAGAUGGAGGGAUGGAUGGGUGAGUAGAUGGAGGGAUGAGUAGAUGGAGGGAUGGAUGGGUGAGUAGAUGGAGGGAUGGAUGGGUGAGUAGAUGGAGGGAUGACUGCAGGUGUUCCUGGUAACAGAACCUCUAUUGGAACAGACGCUGUGUUUCCAGGUGGUCGCUGCCUGAUCCUCCACAUCUGAGGGGGGGUCUUGGUCCCUGAUGCCCAUUGCCAGACUGUGGGCGGGGGGCCAGACUGUAGUGUGGCCCUGGUGAUGAGCUGUCCCACUGCUGGGAGGCAUUUACUGAGAUGCUGGAGCAGUUUGUGGUUCCACAAUGUUUCUGCUUCCUGUUUGUGUUGCAGAUCUAAUUUAAAUAUCGCUGACUAACAGACCUGUGGACAUUAAAGAGUUUCUUCUCUUCUUUUGUUGCUAUGAUUCAAAGACCAGUUCUAGAUAUUAUUAUUAUACGUCACGGUGGAUGCAGGAGAGCUAGUAAAAGCACCUGUUUAGGAUUCUGUCUGACUCCUCACUGUUGUGCAGCGUCACGGGUCUCUGCGAUGCUCUUAACUCAACCGCCGCUCUGCUCC